UGACAACUCACAAAGUAGAGAGAGGCCUGG
rnacentral:piRNA from 1 species